rnacentral:misc_RNA from 1 species
UCCGGCUUACACCGGCGGUCUCCUAUGAGUUCCCGACUUUCUCGCUGGCAACAUAGGACGAGGGUUGCGCUCGUUUACGGACUUAACCGCACACCUCACGACACGAGCUGACGACAGCCAUGCAGCACCUGUAUGAAAGUCAGUACCAUCCCGUUAAGGACUGGUUUCUCAGAGGUUUCUCCUGCAUGUCAAGCCUAGGUAAGGUUCUUCGCGUUGCGUCGAAUUAAACCACAUGCUCCACCGCUUGUGCGGGCCCCCGUCAAUUCCUUUGAGUUUCAGCCUUGCGGCCGUACUCCCCAGGCGGGGCACUUAAUGCGUUAGCUGCGACACUCAGGGGGUCGCUCCCCCAAGCAUCUAGUGCCCAUCGUUUACGGCGUGGACUAC